rnacentral:rRNA from 1 species
GACGAACGCUGGCGGCGUGCUUAACACAUGCAAGUCGAACGGAAAGGCCCUGCUUUUGUGGGGUGCUCGAGUGGCGAACGGGUGAGUAACACGUGAGUAACAUGCCCUUGACUUUGGGAUAACUUCAGGAAACUGGGGCUAAUACCGGAUAGGAGCUCUUGCUGCAUGGUGGGGGUUGGAAAGUUUCGGCGGUUGGGGAUGGACUCGCGGCUUAUCAGCUUGUUGGUGGGGUAGUGGCUUACCAAGGCUUUGACGGGUAGCCGGCCUGGGAGGGUGACCGGCCACAUUGGGACUGAGAUACGGCACAGAAUGCUACGGGAGGCAGCAGUGGAAAAUAUUACACAAUAGGCGGAAGCCUGAUGCGGCAACGCCGCGUGCGGGAUGACGGCCUACGGGGUGAAAACCGCUUUCGCCUGAAACGAAGCGAGAGUGACGGUAAUGGGUAAAAAAGCACCGGCUAACUACGUG